UUGACCUCGGAUCAGGUAGGGAUACCCGCUGAACUUAAGCAUAUCAAUAAGCGGAGGAAAAGAAACCAACAGGGAUUGCCUCAGUAACGGCGAGUGAAGCGGCAAAAGCUCAAAUUUUAAAGCUGACAUCUUCGGUGUCCGCGUUGUAAUUUUGUGAGGCAUCUCCGGGUAGGGCGCCGGCCUAAGUUCCUUGGAACAGGACGUCACAGAGGGUGAGAAUCCCGUGCUUGGCUGGCUGUCCCCGUCCAUGUGAGGUGUCUUCGACGAGUCGAGUUGUUUGGGAAUGCAGCUCAAAAUGGGUGGUAAAUUUCAUCUAAAGCUAAAUAUUGGUGGGAGACCGAUAGCGCACAAGUAGAGUGAUCGAAAGAUGAAAAGCACUUUGAAAAUAGAGUUAAAAAGUACGUGAAAUUGUUGAAAGGGAAGCGCUUGAGACCAGACUUCGGUAAGGGGUGAUCAGCCGUCCUUUUGGGCGGUGCACUUGCCCCCCUCCGGGCCAGCAUCGGUUGAGGCGGCGGGAUAAAGGUCCCGGGAAUGUGGCUCCUUCACGGGAGUGUUAUAGCCCGGGUGAAUGCCGCCAGCUUCGACCGAGGACCGCACCCGCAAGGGUUAGGAUGCUUGGCAUAAUGGUCUUCAGCGACCCGUCUU
rnacentral:rRNA from 1 species